AUUGUAAUAAUUAUUGUAAUAUUGCGAAAACUAUUGAAGUUUAUUAUUAAUUAUACGAAAAAGCUAUAUAGUACUUUGGAACCCCUAUUGGUCACGCCCAUAUAUUUUCGGACUUGAUUAUAAAACAAACAUUCAAAAGUGACGUUUGUUUGUUAAUUAUGGCUCGCUUAUUCAUGUUUUUUGCUUUGGGAGUCGUCAUCGUUCGCAGAUUAAGCUGUCAGCAGAGAAACACAACAUUUUUGGCCACUUUCUCACUUCGCACGCAAAUCAAAUUAAUGUUGCAUGCGUUACUUUUCCACUCUCCAUAAAACGUGUGACGACCUUGUGCCAUGAAAAAUGUAUGCUUUCUGGGCAGUAAAAAAAAAAAGAGAAUUAUAAUCAAAUUUAACUGUU